AAACUUUUUUCGAAAAAAAAAAAAAAAAAAAAAAAAAAAAAAAUCUGUUCUUAUCAGUUUAAUAUCUGUUACGUCCCCUAUCUGGGGACCAUAUAUUAAAUGGAUUUUUGAAACGCGGAGCUGGAAGCGGGGCUUGCUCCGCCCACUCCACGCAUCGACCUGGUAUUGCAGUUUCUCCAGGAACGGUGCAUUCCCC